AGAGUUUGAUCCUGGCUCAGGACGAACGCUGGCGGCGUGCCUAAUACAUGCAAGUAGAACGCUGAAGAGAGGAGCUUGCUCUUCUUGGAUGAGUUGCGAACGGGUGAGUAACGCGUAGGUAACCUGCCUUGUAGCGGGGGAUAACUAUUGGAAACGAUAGCUAAUACCGCAUAACAAUAGGUGACACAUGUCAUUUAUUUGAAAGGGGCAAUUGCUCCACUACAAGAUGGACCUGCGUUGUAUUAGCUAGUAGGUGAGGUAACGGCUCACCUAGGCGACGAUACAUAGCCGACCUGAGAGGGUGAUCGGCCACACUGGGACUGAGACACGGCCCAGACUCCUACGGGAGGCAGCAGUAGGGAAUCUUCGGCAAUGGGGGCAACCCUGACCGAGCAACGCCGCGUGAGUGAAGAAGGUUUUCGGAUCGUAAAGCUCUGUUGUAAGUCAAGAACGAGUGUGAGAGUGGAAAGUUCACACUGUGACGGUAGCUUACCAGAAAGGGACGGCUAACUACGUGCCAGCAGCCGCGGUAAUACGUAGGUCCCGAGCGUUGUCCGGAUUUAUUGGGCGUAAAGCGAGCGCAGGCGGUUUGAUAAGUCUGAAGUUAAAGGCUGUGGCUCAACCAUAGUUCGCUUUGGAAACUGUCAAACUUGAGUGCAGAAGGGGAGAGUGGAAUUCCAUGUGUAGCGGUGAAAUGCGUAGAUAUAUGGAGGAACACCGGUGGCGAAAGCGGCUCUCUGGUCUGUAACUGACGCUGAGGCUCGAAAGCGUGGGGAGCGAACAGGAUUAGAUACCCUGGUAGUCCACGCC
rnacentral:rRNA from 1 species